AAAAGCAACUUGGUUAUUUAGGAUACACCUGUUCCCAUGCCGAACACAGAAGUUAAGCUUCUUAGCGCCGAUUGUAGUGAAGGGUUUCCCUUUGUGAGAGUAGGACGUCGCCACGC
rnacentral:rRNA from 1 species